UCAAGAAAACAGGAGGAAAAAGAAAAGAACCAGUCAAAGAAGAAAACGAUGAUAAGGAUGAUGAUAAUGAUGAUGAUGGUGAUAGUUAAAAGAAGAAGAAGAAGAAGAUGGAUGCCAAAAUUACCUAGCUUACUGUGUAAUAAGCUUUCCUGGAUGAAUAAGUGGCCAAGAGUUCUUUUGGAAUGUUUCCAAGGCAAGGUAAUACAGUAAACAGAAGAUGACAAAGAAAGGGAUGAAAGAUGAUGUAAGAAGAGAAAGAAAGAGGUGGAAAGAUGGAAAUGAUUUAGAUAGAGAGGAUAAAUGGCAAAACAGGAAAAACAGAAAAGGUGAAAAGCAAUUAACUGAUGCUACCAUGACUGUUGUUGCUGAUUCUAUUGCUAUUUCUACAACUGCAACUAUGAUCAUUUUGCUGAUUCUGGGGCUCAUGAUGAUUAAGAUAAUGAUCAAAAUGAUGGUGAUGAGAGUAGACAAAAACAUUGGCUAAGGAAACACAAAAUGAAUCAAUGUGAAAAAGGUGUACAACAUUCAAUCAAAACCAAUUCCUAAGAUGCUUAUAUCAAAGUAAAACGAAAGGAGCAAAAAACCUGGAAAAAUUUUUUCAGUUAAGUGAUUUUGUUGGGUUUUGGAGGCGUAAAAGUAUCCCGUUGACCUUUAUCAAUUUAGGUCUCUUUGUUUUACCGUGAAUAACUAUUCUCGCUGCUUUCAAACUUCAAUAACACAAAAAAAGACUACACAUGUGGCUGUCGCACAUUUUUCAAUGGCUUCAAAAGAUGUCAAAUUUCAAAAAAACUCUAAAAUUUAGAUGGCAGUGUCUUUAUCACCUAAUGCAGUUUCUUGCAACUAAUUAGUGAAAACAGUUUAUCCUUCACUUUCUUUCUUCACUCUCUAACAGUGAAACUAUUCCUGUCGACAGACUGACGGAUGAGAUGGAUAAAGAUAAAAUUGAGUAGCCUUUAAACAAGGAAACAAAUUGAUUCAAUUUAUCCACAAUUGACGUUCAUGUUGAAAGCCAAAGGAAAAAAAGGCUAAGGAAAAUACAAAAAGAAAGAAGGAGAAAAAGAAGAUGAGAAUGAAAUGUGAAAACGGAUCGUUGGUGAUAUGAUGAAAAACAAAAGGCUCUUUUUUACAGUGGUCAAGUGAAUAGCCAAUCGGUGUACAGUGAAACAGAAAAGAUGGUUGAAAGAAACGCUUGUUUCCACUUUGGUAGUGUUUACAGGUUUUCAUGUGUGCCGGUGGUAUGCUAUUAUGUUGAUGGAUAGAUGUGAAAUGUGAGGAGAAAGAAAGAGGAAGAGAAAGAGUCAUGGAUCAUUGAUUGCAGGCUGAUGGAUCGACACAGUAGGAGUGGAUAGAGAAACAAGUUUAGCGUGGUUUUGACGGAGGUGAAUAAGUGAAGAUAGACAUUCACCGGUACAAGUUUCCUGAUGUGAACCAGACACAUUUCACCUAUUUCCCUCCCUUUCAUCUUUCGCCUCUUUACUUUUCAUCGUCAUCUCUUUUUUGCUCCUGUAGCCUGCCAGACAUCAAGUUUGACGGAAAUAAACAACUCUCAACCGACAAACAUUCUUUGGAAAUUGGUUUUUGGUUGUUGAAGUUUCACUGGGCAAUUAACAAACUCACUUUGCACCGUAAUCGCACAAAUUACAAAAUUAAUCCAAGAUUAGAAAAAAUUCUGAAACCAGGAACAAAACAAGGAAUUUAAUCGACAAAAUGGCAAAAGUCAAAUGUCAUGAGUUUGUCAUUUCAGUUUGGAUACAGAUGAACCUCAGCAGUUGUAUCAAUGUCUUUUUGAUAAAAUGAAACCUGAACUACCAUGAUUGAGAUUUUCUGGCCAGAUUCACUUUUCAAGUUGAAACAUCAAUUAUUGAACAAUCUUGAAAGAUGUUACAUCAGCUAAUGUUAACAUUUGCUUUUGCUAUAUAUUUAUAUACUGUAUAUAAUGAGUAUAUGUGUGGUUCUCUCAUCAAUUUAGAAGCAAGCAUUUCAUUAUUAGUUAUCAUCGUAAUAUUAUUUACUUUCAUAUGAUGAGGUUCGAUAUAUCUAAAGACUUAUGACAUUUAUAUUUAUAUAUAAAUAUAAGACAAGGAAAAGUUGUUUUAUCCCUUCAGGGGGUUUAAGACACAAAAUAAGAAACAGAAAUAGCAAUAAAAAGGCUACACAAUAAGAAGAAAUACGGAGUUGGUUUCAGUCUCUACACUUUUAUUCAAUUGUGUUAUGUCAAUUGAGUUGGACUCUGUGAUCAGUUAUAAAUAAAUAAAUGUAUAUAUAUAUAUUAGUUAAGGUCAAGUUGAAUUGUUGUACAGACACACUCAUAUACAGUAUCUAAAUGUAUGGUAAAAGCAAAAUGAAAUGAACAAUGUUAAAGAAAUACUAAUGUUCAGUGUUUUGACAUUGUUUCUAAAUAGAAGUAGCAUCUCCUCCGGGUUUUUGUUUUCAAGGCAGCAAAAGGAGAGGAGGAAAAAAAAUGCCAAAAAGAAGGAGAAAAGGAAGAGAAAGAAGGUGUCACCUUUGAUUUGAUUUGAUUUGAUUGUUGUUAGACACGGUAGAUUGUAGGAAAUGGAAGAGCAAAUAGAAUGGAGAGAAAAAAAAAGUUUGUGAAGAAGAGCAACAAGAAGAGCCAAAAAAAGAUAUGAAGUGAACACUGGAAGACAAAGCCACAAAGACACACAAGAGAAUUGGAGGAUGAAGGAUGAAGAUGAUGAGGAUAUUGAAUCAAAUUUGAUCAAAUAAACAGUGUUACAAGUGAGGGCUGACAGAGUUGACCAGGUAAAGAUAAGCUGAACCUGAAGGCUUUCCUAAAAAGGUGAAGCUUGAACUUCAAGGUUAGCGGAGACUUUGAUCCGAGUGAAACUGUUUUUUUUUUGUCAAAAAGUAUUUACAUUAAUUUGGUUUAGAGAGAGUCAAUCUUUAACUCACCCUCCUCCGCAUAUUUGUUUGUGUGUGUGUGGGGUGGGGGAGAGAUUUGAUGAUGAGAAAGAUGUAGAAGAUGCAGAUGAUUUGAUUGAUUUGGUGAAUGCGGCGGAUGUGUCAGAUUGGGUGGUGGACAAUAAGGUAAAAAUACGUGAAAAGACGGGCAAAAAAAGUGGUGGAAAAAAGCAGUUCACCUCUCUACACCUAACUCAUUACUCAAAAAACAAAAGUUUUACAUGAAAUCCUGGUCUAACAAUGAACCAUAAACCUGAAUAACAAAACAGUUUUUCCCCAUCUCUCUCAAUGUUAUUGAAUACGGAUUUCACAUUUUUCCCCAACCUCUAUUUUCAUGAAUUUCCCAGAUCUGAAUUCUGAGGUUAGGUUUCCUAUUUUUCGUCGUUGUAGUUGAAUCAGAACUAUCAUACUGUGUAUUUUUUUUCUUAGAGCCCGCUCAGUUUGGCCACAAUCUUGACGCAAAAAUUUGAUACAUUUACUUAUAUUGUAUAUAUGUGUACAUAGAUUUUACCAGAUGAAAGGGGCAAAAAACCUGGAAAAAAAUUUUGCAGUUAAGUGAUUUCUUGGGUUUUGUAGGCGUAAAAGUAUCCCGUUGACCUUUAUCAACUUAGGUCUCUUUGUUUUACCGUGAAUAACUAUUAUCUUUGCAUUCAAACUUCAAUAACACAAAAAAAGAGACUGCACAUGUGGCUGUCGCACAUUUUUCAAUGGCUCCAAAGACGUCAAAUUUCAAAAAAACCUUUAAAAUUUAGAUGGCAGUGUCUUUAUCACCUAAUGCAGUUUCUUGCAACUAAUUAGUGAAAAGAUCUCCCCUGACAUCCCUUUAUCUUCAAUUGGAUCAUUUUAACCGCAUAAUUGGCUAAAAGGAUUUCAAUCUUGAUCUUUUGCUUUCCCUUGGAUCCAGUUUAUUAUAUCAAUUUUUAAUUGGAAAACCUUGUUUGCUACAAAUGAUCAAGUGAUAACCAGGAGUCAAACAAACAAAAUUAAUAUGAACCAGAUUGAACUAAAAACCAAUGAUUGGGUUAAAUUGAAUCAAUGGAUAAAAGAGUAACAAAAAGUACAACAAGAUUAGUGUUCAAAGAAGAAGAAGAUGAAAUCAAAUAAAUGACACCAAAUUUGAUUGUCAAUGGAUAUUAAAUCAGCUCAAUACUUACCAAUUAAAGGGUACAAGAUUAUCAUUGAGUCGCUGGUUAAUUUUAAAGAAUAAUAACAUGGCAAUAAAAAUUUGCUCCUUUCCUCGACUGAACUAUCUUUGAUGGUGAUCUCAGGAAGUUGGAAAAAUUACUUAUCGUUAACUUGGAGACAAUUUCUUGUUUUAUUGUCAAUUUGUAUUAAACUGAUAAGGAAAAGGGAAUAUGGAAAAGACCAAAAUACUUGAAAGGAGGAACAGAAAAGAUAAGUGAUGCAGAUUAAGAUCUAGAGGUGAAGCUUGGUUUUUGUGUGUCCCUGGAGUGAUCCUGGUGUUGACCCUGGUUAGGGGGCUCUUUCCUUCUCUGGUCCAAUCUCUUUAUGCUUUAAAGGUCAACAUACUAAAAUGGUCUUUUAAUUUACAUAAAUUGUGUAUAAAAGUAAAGGGAAAGAAGGAUGUGGCUCAGUUCGUUGGUGUGGGUCUAAUUUUGGUCAAAUAAAAGGUCUUGCAAAUCAAGAACAACUGUUGAUCUAUUUUUAUACUGUUACAAAAAAUUGAUGACUAGACCAGAUAUUUUGUCCGACUUUGACCCAAAAAGGAACCAAAAAAAGCAAAAGUCUUCUCCACCAAAACGGUAAAAGUUUACCACGCUAAUCAAGAAGAUGAACAGUUUUGCUUAGGUGCUGAAAAUUUAGACAGUUUGUCUGCUCAUUUUUGGAUGGACAAAAAAUUGACUUUUUCAUGGGAAAAGCCACUUUCCAUUUUGAUAAACUUGCAGAUUACCGUCAUUAUCACCAACAUCGCCAUAAAACCAAAAAUAUACAAGACACCACUAAAUGCGAUACAUUAAUGCAGCCUGAAAACAAUCUUGGUAUUAAACUAAUUUUGUCGCCUGUUUUAAACCUUAUUCAGACAUCUUUUUUUUCUCAUUCCUCUACUGCAACUUCACUCAUGUUUAAGAGCAAAAAUUUAGAUGAAUUUUCAGGCAAUUAGAUAGAUGAAUUGUAGUUGAACUUGAUAACUUGUAACUGGAAAUUAUAUUCAACUUGUGCCAACC